GCACCGUUCGUUCAGUCGGCCAAGGACCUCUGGCUUCCAACCAGAAGACGCCGGUUCGAGUCCGACACGGUGCUCCA
rnacentral:tRNA from 1 species